UAGGUAGGUGGCAAGCGCUGGCCGGAAUUAUUGGGCGUAAAGCGCGCGCGGGCGGCCGCUGAAGUCUGAUGUGAAGGCCCCCGGCUCAACCGGGGAGGGCCAUUGGAAACUGGGAGGCUUGAGUAUAGGAGAGAAGAGUGGAAUUCCACGUGUAGCGGUGAAAUGCGUAGAGAUGUGGAGGAACACCAGUGGCGAAGGCGGCCUUCUGGACUGACACUGACACUGAGGUGCGAAAGCGUGGGUAGAAAACAGG
rnacentral:misc_RNA from 1 species